rnacentral:lncRNA from 1 species
UUUUACAGUUAAGUUUGAUAGGUUUGAAUUGAUAAGGCUGAGGGACCAUGAAAAUAGUGCCAAUAUCCUAUUAUAAUUUAAUGAUAAUUUUGCUCAUGUUUAUGCAUCAAGUUUUGAGAAGGGAUCAAUAUUUGAUGGAAAUGUAGAGAUUCAAUUGUAAUUAUACUGGAUUUAAUGGUGCAAUGGAGUUUGAGAAGGCCUUAGAAGCCUCUCAGUGCAUUAAAAAAGAAUGGAAAACCAAUAGAAAUUUCCCUGGUCUAAAUUUAUAUGGAUAGGUUGCUUAGGGUGAUGAUUCUAUAGCAGAAUGUGCUGUAGGAGAAUAUCUGCGAGAGAAGAGGGAGUUGAUGAAGAUUAUAUUAUCGCAAAUCUUAUUAAAGAAGAAACAUAGGGUAGCAAACAAGGAACUUGUAGUGAAUCUAGCUAAUGAAGUUGACUUGAAAAAUGAAAAGUCAGAAUGAACUACAAAUAAGAAAGUGUAUCCAAAAAUAAAAAUCCGUCAAUCGUUGUUGAAAUUAAAAUAUGGUAAAGUGGACUUGAGCUGUACAAUUUGCUAGGUAAAUGUGACUAUGCCUGAAUGUUCACCUCCAAACAAAGAAACAAAAGUCCAAGUAAGCCGCUUUGCAAGCACCGAGGGAUAGGAAAAUGAACAGUCAAGAAUAAAACUUGCACCAAGAACUGCUGAAGUUAAAAUAAGGGAUCAAGCCAAGGUGGAAAUUUCUAAAGUUAAACUUGCUACCUAUGCCUUCUAUUUGUGAUUCUAAUAAGUCAAUAGCAAUGGAAACAAAAAGGUCUAAAGUUGAGUAAAAUUCCCAUGACUUUUUGUUUCCACCGCAAUUGAUAUGUUAGAACCACAAAUAGAAUGCAUAGGAUGCAAGAUUAAAUUCAGAAAUUGCUGCCUUGGCUUGAUUCCUUAUUUUAACUUCAACAAUUCUUGGUGCAAGUUUCAUUCUUGACUGUAUAUUUUCCCAUCCAUUGGUGCUUGCAAAGCAUUUUCCUUGGACUUGUGUUUCUUUUUUGGAGGUGAUCAUUCAGACCACGCUAACUAGUUACAGUCUCGGUAAAGUGUACAACUCCAAUCCUCUUUACCAUUUUUCUUUUCAACAACGAGUGAUGGAUUUUUAUUUUUGAAUACACUUUCAUUUUUGCAGAUCAUUCAGUUUUUUGAUUUUUCAUGUCAUUUUCAUCUGCUAGAUUUGGUACAAGUUCUUUGCUACCCCGUGUUUCAUUUUUUUUAGAAGGUUUUAGUUGAGAUAGUCUUUAGCACCCCCUUUCUAUUGGAGAUAUUCUUCCAAGCACUUUCUUCUAUAUAAUCAUCGCCCAUAGCAACCCAUCCAUAUAAAUUUUGACUAGGACAAUUUCUAUGGGAUUUUCAUUCUUGUUUGCAGUAGUAAGAGGCCCUGGAGGCCUUUCAAAAGUCCAUUAAACUCUAUUAUGUUGUUGGGAAAAAGUUGAUUCACUUUCACUUCCUUUUCUUUUGGGAGACAUCUUUUAUCUACAAACAAGAGAAAAAGAAAAAAUAUUACAAUUGAUGUCUGCAUAAUUUUUAAAAAGCGUAAUACAGAAUUCAAUAAAUACAACAUAUUACAAUAAGAAUUCCAACAAAUGACCCAUCUAUUGCAACAAAUGACCAACAUGUUGCAACAGAUGGGUCAUCUAUUAGAAGAAAUCAAGAUAGUCGUACUACUAGUUCGAUUCUCCCAAUAGGUGAUUCAUCUAUUGCAACAUAUGAGUCAUUUGUUGGAAGAACUAUUUUGAGUAAUUCCAAUAGCUAAUUCAUCAGUUGCAACAGAUGGGGAAUCUGUUGGAAGACCUAUUUUAAUAUAUUCUAUCAUAUAUUCCAAACUGUUACAAAACCAACACCACCAAUACCACCACCACCACCACCAAUAAUAAGAAUAACACCAACAACAGCAACAAAAUAAAAGUAAAUAACAAAACCAACAACAAACAAACAACACUAGUAGUGCCAAGAUUUUUAAGUUCUUCCAACAGAUGACCAAUCUGUUGCACCAGAUGAGCCAUCUGUUGGAAGAACUAAAUCCAGGUUUUUAGUUUUUCCAACAAACGACCAAUUUGUUGCAACAAAUAAACCAUUUAUUGAAAGAACUCAAGGGUCAUAACUUUUUUUGAUUAUUUAAUAAAAAAAGUUCGUAAAUAAAUAUGAUAUUGGUAAUGGGUAAGUAAAUUAAAACAAUAGAUGUAAAUAACUAAUUUAAAUAACUAAUGUAAAAAUUUGAUAUAUGCAAUUUCAAUUUUCAUCAAAGAAAACAUGAAAAAUUUGAUGAAACAAGCAAAAAAGAAGACGAAAAGGCAAGAAUAAUAGUCGAGAGCCCAGAUCUAAUAGUGAACCAUACCUUCCAUGUCAAAAGAAAAGGGAUCAAAACACCAAUUUCAGGCAAAAUAGGAGAGAAAAGAGAGAGAAAAAAGUAGACAAUUGGCAUUACCCUAAAGACGAGAGAAA